GGCGGAUCUGUUUCCUACGGUGGCAGCAGUGGUUGUGGACAAGGUGUCUCCUAUGAUAGCAAUCCCUGUCACCAGGGUGGAUCACAGGGUAGUCAGAGUGGCUCAUAUUCCUCACAAAACUAUGGUGGUAGCCAAGUAAGUAUUGCCUCCCCCAGAGGUUUUAUGAUGGUUUUAACUUCUGUGAUGACUGAUCAAUAUCUGAUCAGCAAUAUGGUAAUGUAAAUUCUAAUUACUUUGUUGUUUUUGUUUCUUAGCAGAGUGGAUCAUCAUACUCCCAAAAUUAUGGUGACAACCAG
rnacentral:lncRNA from 1 species